CACGUAGUUAGCCGGUGCUUAUUCUUACGGUACCGUCAUGGUCCCAGGGUAUUAUCCCGAGACUUUUCGUUCCGUACAAAAGCAGUUUACAACCCGAAGGCCUUCAUCCUGCACGCGGCAUUGCUGGAUCAGGCUUUCGCCCAUUGUCCAAAAUUCCCCACUGCUGCCUCCCGUAGGAGUCUGGGCCGUGUCUCAGUCCCAGUGUGGCUGGUCGUCCUCUCAGACCAGCUACAGAUCGUCGGCUUGGUAAGCUUUUAUCCCACCAACUACCUAAUCUGCCAUCGGCCGCUCCGUUCGCGCAAGGCCCGAGGGUCCCCUGCUUUCAUCCGUAGAUCGUAUGCGGUAUUAGCAAAGCUUUCGCUCCGUUAUCCCCCACGAUCGGGCACGUUCCGAUGUAUUACUCACCCGUUCGCCACUCGUCAGCCUCCGAAGAGCUGUUACCGUUCGACUUGCAUGUGUAAGGCAUGCCGCCAGCGUUCAAUCUGAGCCAGGAUCAAACUC
rnacentral:rRNA from 1 species